GCGCCCGUAGUUCAGUGGAUUAGAACGUCGGUCUACGAAACCGAAGGUCACAGGUUCGAAUCCUGUCGGGCGCA
rnacentral:tRNA from 1 species